rnacentral:rRNA from 1 species
CUACGGGGGGCUCCAGUGGGGAAUAUUGCACAAUGGGCGAAAGCCUGAUGCAGCAACGCCGCGUGGAGGAUGACACAUUUCGGUGCGUAAACUCCUUUUAUAUAGGAAGAUGAUGACGGUACUAUAUGAAUAAGCACCGGCUAACUCCGUGCCAGCAGCCGCGGUAAUACGGAGGGUGCAAGCGUUACUCGGAAUUACUGGGCGUAAAGGGCGUGUAGGCGGAUAGAUAAGUUGGAAGUGAAAUCCUAUGGCUCAACCAUAGAACUGCUUCCAAAACUGUCUAUCUAGAAUGUGGGAGAGGUAGAUGGAAUUUCUGGUGUAGGGGUAAUAUCCGUAGAGAUCAGAAGGAAUACCGAUUGCGAAGGCGAUCUACUGGAACAUAAUUGACGCUGAGACGCGAAAGCGUGGGGAGCAAACAGGAUUAGAUACCCUAGUAGUC